rnacentral:rRNA from 1 species
GCUACAGGCUUAACACAUGCAAGUCGAGGGGCAGCAUGGUCUUAGCUUUCUAAGGCCGAUGGCGACCGGCGCACGGGUGCGUAACGCGUAUCCAACCUUCCCGCGAGUCCUUCACAGCCCGGCGAAAGUCGGAUUAACGGGGGAUGGUCUCGUAAGACGGCAUCCGAUUACGAGUAAAGUUUAUCGCUUGCGGAUGGGGAUGCGUAGGAUUAGCUUGCAGGCGGGGUAACGGCCCACCUGGGCGACGAUCCUUAGGGGUUCUGAGAGGAAGGUCCCCCACACUGGUACUGAGACACGGACCAGACUCCUACGGGAGGCAGCAGUGAGGAAUAUUGGUCAAUGGGCGGAAGCCUGAACCAGCCAAGUAGCGUGAAGGAUGACUGCCCUACGGGUUGUAAACUUCUUUUAUAGGGGAAUAAAGUUCUCUACGUGUAGAGUUUUGUAUGUACCUUAUGAAUAAGCAUCGGCUAACUCCGUGCCAGCAGCCGCGGUAAUACGGAGGAUGCGAGCGUUAUCCGGAUUUAUUGGGUUUAAAGGGAGCGUAGACGGCGGUUUAAGUCAGCUGUGAAAUGGUGCGGCUCAACCGUAGCACUGCAGUUGAAACUGGACGGCUUGAGUGCAGUUGAGGCAGGCGGAAUUCGUGGUGUAGCGGUGAAAUGCUUAGAUAUCACG